CCUACGGGAGGCAGCAGUGGGGAAUUUUGGACAAUGGGCGCAAGCCUGAUCCAGCCAUGCCGCGUGCGGGAAGAAGGCCUUCGGGUUGUAAACCGCUUUUGUCAGGGAAGAAAAGGUUCUGGUUAAUACCUGGGACUCAUGACGGUACCUGAAGAAUAAGCACCGGCUAACUACGUGCCAGCAGCCGCGGUAAUACGUAGGGUGCAAGCGUUAAUCGGAAUUACUGGGCGUAAAGCGUGCGCAGGCGGUUAUGCAAGACAGAGGUGAAAUCCCCGGGCUCAACCUGGGAACUGCCUUUGUGGCUGCAUAGCUAGAGUACGGUAGAGGGGGAUGGGAAUUCCGCGUGUAGCAGUGAAAUGCGUAGAUAUGCGGAGGAACACCGAUGGCGAAGGCAAUCCCCUGGACCUGUACUGACGCUCAUGCACGAAAGCGUGGGGAGCAAACAGGAUUAGAUACCCAGGUAGUCCACGCCCUAAACGAUGUCAACUGGUUGUUGGGAGGGUUUCUCUCAGUAACGUAGCUAACGCGUGAAGUUGACCGCCUGGGGAGUACGGCCGCAAGGUUGAAACUCGAAAGGAUUGACG
rnacentral:rRNA from 1 species